GGGACCAUAGUUUAGUGGUAGAGCACAAGCUUUGCAAGCAUGAGGUCUCAGGUUCAAUACCCAGCAUCUCU